UACGAAGGGAGCUAGCGUUGUUCGGAAUCACUGGGCGUAAAGCGCACGUAGGCGGAUGUGUCAGUCAGGGGUGAAAUCCCGGAGCUCAACUUCGGAACUGCCUUUGAUACAGCACAUCUGGAGUCCGGAAGAGGUGGGUGGAAUUCCUAGUGUAGAGGUGAAAUUCGUAGAUAUUAGGAAGAACACCGGUGGCGAAGGCGGUCCACUGGUCCGGUACUGACGCUGAGGUGCGAAAGCGUGGGGAGCAAACAGG
rnacentral:rRNA from 1 species